UAAUACGGAGGGUGCAAGCGUUAUCCGGAUUCACUGGGUUUAAAGGGUGCGUAGGCGGGCAUUUAAGUCAGUGGUGAAAUACCUGAGCUUAACUUGGGAACUGCCAUUGAUACUAUUUGUCUUGAAUGUCGUGGAGGUUAGCGGAAUAUGUCAUGUAGCGGUGAAAUGCUUAGAUAUGACAUAGAACACCUAUUGCGAAGGCAGCUAACUACGCGAAUAUUGACGCUGAGGCACGAAAGCGUGGGGAUCAAACAGGAUUAGAUACCCUGGUAGUCCACGCCCUAAACGAUGAUUACUCGACAUUGGCGAUACACUGUCAGUGUCUGAGCGAAAGCAUUAAGUAAUCCACCUGGGAAGUACGACCGCAAGGUUG
rnacentral:rRNA from 1 species